UGGGGAAUUUUGGACAAUGGGGGCAACCCUGAUCCAGCAAUGCCGCGUGUGUGAAGAAGGCCUUCGGGUUGUAAAGCACUUUUGUCCGGAAAGAAAACGCCGUGGUUAAUACCCGUGGCGGAUGACGGUACCGGAAGAAUAAGCACCGGCUAACUACGUGCCAGCAGCCGUGGUAAUACGUAGGGUGCAAGCGUUAAUCGGAAUUACUGGGCGUAAAGCGUGCGCAGGCGGUCCGCUAAGACAGAUGUGAAAUCCCCGGGCUUAACCUGGGAACUGCAUUUGUGACUGGCGGGCUAGAGUAUGGCAGAGGGGGGUAGAAUUCCACGUGUAGCAGUGAAAUGCGUAGAGAUGUGGAGGAAUACCGAUGGCGAAGGCAGCCCCCUGGGCCAAUACUGACGCUCAUGCACGAAAGCGUGGGGGAGCAAACAGGAUUAGAUACCCUGGUAGUCCACGCCCUAAACGAUGUCAACUAGUUGUCGGGUCUUCAUUGACUUGGUAACGUAGCUAACGCGUGAAGUUGACCGCCUGGGGAGUACGGU
rnacentral:rRNA from 1 species